ACAAGUUCACCCGGAUUGAAGGUGACUAUAGGGCUAUUAUCCAAAAUCCUCACCCAUUGAUCCCACCAAUAUUUGGCACUGAUCAAUUCGGCUGGUGUUCUGAGUGGAACUCGGCAAUGACAAAGUUAACUGGAUGGCGGCGUGAUGAUGUUAUUGAUAAAAUGCUAUUAGGGGAGGUUUUUGGGACACAGGCAGCUUGCUGCCGUCUCAAGAAGCGUGAUGAUGUUAUUGAUAAAAUGUUAUUAGGGGAGGUUUUUGGGACACAGGCAGCUUGCUGCCGUCUCAAGAAUCAAGAAGCUUUUGUAAAUUUUGGAGUUGUACUAAACAAUGCUAUGACUGGU
rnacentral:lncRNA from 1 species